AUUAGCUAGUUGGUGAGGUAAUGGCUCACCAAGGCAACGAUCAGUAGCCGGUCUGAGAGGACGGUCGGCCACACUGGAACUGAGACACGGUCCAGACUCCUACGGGAGGCAGCAGUGGGGAAUUUUUGGCAAUGGGGGCAACCCUGACCAAGCAACGCCGCGUGGAUGAUGAAGUAUCUCGGUACGUAAAAUCCUUUCGACGGGGACGAAACCGCAAGGUUGACGGUACCCGUAGAAGAAGCCCCGGCUAACUCCGUGCCAGCAGCCGCGGUAAUACGGGGGGGGCAAGCGUUGUUCGGAAUUACUGGGCGUAAAGGGCGCGUAGGCGGCUUGUUAAGUCGGGUGUGAAAACUCUGGGCUCAACCCAGAGCCUGCAUUCGAAACUGAUGAGCUAGAGUUCUGGAGGGGAAAGCGGAAUUCCUGGUGUAGCAGUGAAAUGCGUAGAUAUCAGGAGGAACACCGGUGGCGAAGGCGGCUUUCUGGACAGAAACUGACGCUGAUGCGCGAAAGCUAGGGGAGCAAACAGGAUUAGAUACCCUGGUAGUCCUAGCCC
rnacentral:rRNA from 1 species